rnacentral:lncRNA from 1 species
CCCAAGACAGAUGAUUCUUACAGUGCAUGGAAAGCAUCCCCCCACCCCUCCCUACAAAUGGAGCACGCAGUCUGUGAGUGCACUGAGGAGAGCUUCAGUGACUGGCCAGCUCAGUGCUCACAUCCGUGGGAGAUGCAGUUCAGAAACGUAUGGUUUUGGCUGGAGAACAAAAGAAACAAGACUAUUCCUUGGGAGAAGCUCUCAGCACAACACUGCAUCUGUUCAAGGCUGCAAGGCAGGACAGAAGAGAUCAAACUACCUUAUUCACCUUGAAGAAUGAUCUGAGUGCUGGAGCAUGGUAAACAACAAGUAUGCCACACUUGUGGAACAGCCUGUCUGCUUUAUACCGAAUGGUUGUGACACCUAAAGAAAGAGUGGGACUAAGGUCUGCACUCCUGCCAUACAAAAAAAAAGUGCUCUCUUAUAUUAGCUGUUAUAUAAUGUGAGAGGACUGACUGACAUAUCAUCCACUGAUAUGCUCACCAUGGUUUUCUGAGCAGACCAAGUCUGGACAUCCAAUAUGGGAUGACAGUCAGAAGAAAACAUUUUAUUCCUCCACAAGACCUUUCAGUGAAGAGCCUGAGGCUGGCUGACACACGUGUAUGGGGCCAAGAAUUUAAUGAGUACUGGAAGAAAAUCAGAGGAGAUUGGCAUUUCUUGGCAGAUGGGAUGUUGGAGGGAGGGUAGAGGAGGCAGAGGGAAGAGACUUCUUUUGUGUCAGUUUAUCUUUGAUUUGGUGAAAUUGCCAGGUGACUUCAAGGGAAAAGAUGCACAAUGCUCCUCUGUUCUUUUCACAGCUGCUGCUUCUCUAACCUGUACAUACAGUGGGACAAACCUGGUUUGUACAAAGCUACAGUCGCUACCUGUGCACAGGCCCUUCUAAAACCUGCAGGCAAAUUUUUGAAAUGUAUUUAAAAGGCUGAGUCUUAAACUAUGCACUGUUUACCCUUGCUGUAAAGAGCUUAUUUGAAUCUUGCUUCUUAUGAAAUGAAGAGUUGCCAUACUUAUUUUGUUAUUUCACUUUUGAUGGUAGUGCAAUAUUUGAGAAUAAAGACUAAAACUGAG